CCUACGGGUGGCAGCAGUGGGGAAUAUUGCACAAUGGGGGGAACCCUGAUGCAGCGACGCCGCGUGGGUGAAGGAGUAUUUCGGUAUGUAAAGCCCUAUCAGCAGGGAAGAACAAUGUCGGUACCUGACUAAGAUGCACCGGCUAAAUACGUGCCAGCAGCCGCGGUAAUACGGAUGGUGCAAGAGUUAUCAGGAUUUACUGGGUGUAAAGGGGGCGCAGAUGGCGAUGCAAGCUAGGAGUGAAAGCCCGGGGCCCAACCCCGGGACUGCUCUUGGAACUGCGUGGCUAGAGUACAGGAGGGGCAGGCGGAAUUCCUGGUGUAGCGGUGAAAUGCGUAGAUAUCAGGAGGAACACCGGUGGCGAAGGCGGCCUGCUGGACUGCAACUGACGUUGAGGCCCGAAAGCGUGGGGAGCAAACAGGAUUAGAUACCCUGGUAGUC
rnacentral:rRNA from 1 species